rnacentral:rRNA from 1 species
GGUUAAGCGACUAAGCGUACACGGUGGAUGCCCUGGCAGUCAGAGGCGAUGAAGGACGUGCUAAUCUGCGAAAAGCGUCGGUAAGGUGAUAUGAACCGUUAUAACCGGCGAUGUCCGAAUGGGGAAACCCAGUGCAAUUCGUUGCACUAUCGUUAACUGAAUACAUAGGUUAACGAGGCGAACCGGGGGAACUGAAACAUCUAAGUACCCCGAGGAAAAGAAAUCAACCGAGAUUCCCCCAGUAGCGGCGAGCGAACGGGGAGCAGCCCAGAGUCUGAAUCAGCUUGUGUGUUAGUGGAACGGUCUGGAAAGUCCGACGGUACAGGGUGAUAGUCCCGUACACCAAAAUGCACAGGUUGUGAACUCGAAGAGUAGGGCGGGACACGUGGUAUCCUGUCUGAAUAUGGGGGGACCAUCCUCCAAGGCUAAAUACUCCUGACUGACCGAUAGUGAACCAGUACCGUGAGGGAAAGGCGAAAAGAACCCCGGCGAGGGGAGUGAAAAAGAACCUGAAACCGUGUACGUACAAGCAGUGGGAGCACCUUCGGGUGUGACUGCGUACCUUUUGUAUAAUGGGUCAGCGACUUAUAUUCUGUAGCAAGGUUAACCGUAUAGGGGAGCCGCAGGGAAACCGAGUCUUAACUGGGCGUUAAGUUGCAGGGUAUAGACCCGAAACCCGGUGAUCUAGCCAUGGGCAGGUUGAAGGUUGGGUAACACUAACUGGAGGACCGAACCGACUAAUGUUGAAAAAUUAGCGGAUGACUUGUGGCUGGGGGUGAAAGGCCAAUCAAACCGGGAGAUAGCUGGUUCUCCCCGAAAGCUAUUUAGGUAGCGCCUCGUGAAUUCAUCUUCGGGGGUAGAGCACUGUUUCGGCUAGGGGGUCAUCCCGACUUACCAACCCGAUGCAAACUACGAAUACCGAAGAAUGUUAUCACGGGAGACACACGGCGGGUGCUAACGUCCGUCGUGAAGAGGGAAACAACCCAGACCGCCAGCUAAGGUCCCAAAGUCAUGGUUAAGUGGGAAACGAUGUGGGAAGGCACAGACAGCCAGGAUGUUGGCUUAGAAGCAGCCAUCAUUUAAAGAAAGCGUAAUAGCUCACUGGUCGAGUCGGCCUGCGCGGAAGAUGUAACGGGGCUAAACCAUGCACCGAAGCUGCGGCAGCGACACUAUGUGUUGUUGGGUAGGGGAGCGUUCUGUAAGCCUGCGAAGGUGACNNNNNNNNNNNNNNNNNNNNNNNNNNNNNNNNNNNNNNNNNNNNNNNNNNNNNNNNNNNNNNNNNNNNNNNNNNNNNNNNNNNNNNNNNNNNNNNNGUUGCUGGAGGUAUCAGAAGUGCGAAUGCUGACAUAAGUAACGAUAAAGCGGGUGAAAAGCCCGCUCGCCGGAAGACCAAGGGUUCCUGUCCAACGUUAAUCGGGGCAGGGUGAGUCGACCCCUAAGGCGAGGCCGAAAGGCGUAGUCGAUGGGAAACAGGUUAAUAUUCCUGUACUUGGUGUUACUGCGAAGGGGGGACGGAGAAGGCUAUGUUAGCCGGGCGACGGUUGUCCCGGUUUAAGCAUGUAGGCUGAUUGUCCAGGCAAAUCCGGAUAAUCAAGGCUGAGGUGUGAUGACGAGGCACUACGGUGCUGAAGUAACAAAUGCCCUGCUUCCAGGAAAAGCCUCUAAGCAUCAGGUAACAUCAAAUCGUACCCCAAACCGACACAGGUGGUCAGGUAGAGAAUACCAAGGCGCUUGAGAGAACUCGGGUGAAGGAACUAGGCAAAAUGGUGCCGUAACUUCGGGAGAAGGCACGCUGGUGUGUAGGUGAAGUCCCUGCGGAUGGAGCUGAGACCAGUCGAAGAUACCAGCUGGCUGCAACUGUUUAUUAAAAACACAGCACUGUGCAAACACGAAAGUGGACGUAUACGGUGUGACGCCUGCCCGGUGCCGGAAGGUUAAUUGAUGGGGUUAUCCGUAAGGAGAAGCUCUUGAUCGAAGCCCCGGUAAACGGCGGCCGUAACUAUAACGGUCCUAAGGUAGCGAAAUUCCUUGUCGGGUAAGUUCCGACCUGCACGAAUGGCGUAAUGAUGGCCAGGCUGUCUCCACCCGAGACUCAGUGAAAUUGAACUCGCUGUGAAGAUGCAGUGUACCCGCGGCAAGACGGAAAGACCCCGUGAACCUUUACUAUAGCUUGACACUGAACAUUGAGCCUUGAUGUGUAGGAUAGGUGGGAGGCUUUGAAGCGUGGACGCCAGUCUGCGUGGAGCCAACCUUGAAAUACCACCCUUUAAUGUUUGAUGUUCUAACGUUGGCCCCUUACCGGGGUUGCGGACAGUGUCUGGUGGGUAGUUUGACUGGGGCGGUCUCCUCCCAAAGCGUAACGGAGGAGCACGAAGGUUAGCUAAUCCUGGUCGGACAUCAGGAGGUUAGUGCAAUGGCAUAAGCUAGCUUGACUGCGAGCGUGACGGCGCGAGCAGGUGCGAAAGCAGGUCAUAGUGAUCCGGUGGUUCUGAAUGGAAGGGCCAUCGCUCAACGGAUAAAAGGUACUCCGGGGAUAACAGGCUGAUACCGCCCAAGAGUUCAUAUCGACGGCGGUGUUUGGCACCUCGAUGUCGGCUCAUCACAUCCUGGGGCUGAAGUAGGUCCCAAGGGUAUGGCUGUUCGCCAUUUAAAGUGGUACGCGAGCUGGGUUUAGAACGUCGUGAGACAGUUCGGUCCCUAUCUGCCGUGGGCGCUGGAGAAUUGAGGGGGGCUGCUCCUAGUACGAGAGGACCGGAGUGGACGCAUCACUGGUGUUCGGGUUGUCAUGCCAAUGGCACUGCCCGGUAGCUAAAUGCGGAAGAGAUAAGUGCUGAAAGCAUCUAAGCACGAAACUUGCCCCGAGAUGAGUUCUCCCUGAGACUUUAAGUCUCCUGAAGGAACGUU